GACUGCUAGGCAGUGAAGUGGAUCCGCGAGACGCCUUCCGGAACAGAGCUUAAAACACCAACCUCAGGUGUUUUUAUUAGAUAAAAAACCAACGCCCUUCGGGGCUUCUUGGUGAUUCAUGAUAACUUUUCGGAUCGCAGAGCCUUGCACUGGUGACGGUUCGAUUGUUCGAUUCCGGAGAGGGAGCGUGAGAAAUGGCUACCGCACCCAAGGAAGGCAGCAGGCGCGAAAAUUACCCAAUCCCGAUUCGUGGAGGUAG
rnacentral:ncRNA from 1 species